GACGAACGCUGGCGGCGUGCUUAACUCAUGCAAGUCGAACGGUAAGGCCCUUCGGGGUACACGAGUGGCGAACGGGUGAGUAACACGUGGGUGAUCUGCCCUGCACUUCGGGAUAAGCCUGGGAAACUGGGUCUAAUACCGGAUAGGACUCCUGGCUUCAUGGUUGGGGGUGGAAAGCUUUCGCGGUGUGGGAUGGGCCCGCGGCCUAUCAGCUUGUUGGUGGGGUAAUGGCCUACCAAGGCGACGACGGGUAGCCGGCCUGAGAGGGUGACCGGUCACACUGGGACUGAGAUACGGCCCAGACUCCUACGGGAGGCAGCAGUGGGGAAUAUUGCACAAUGGGCGCAAGCCUGAUGCAGCGACGCCGCGUGAGGGAUGACGGCCUUCGGGUUGUAAACCUCUUUCAGCUAUGACGAAGCGCAAGUGACGGUAGUAGCAGAAGAAGGACCGGCCAACUACGUGCCAGCCGCCGCGGUAA
rnacentral:rRNA from 1 species